rnacentral:rRNA from 5 species
AAAUUGAAGAGUUUGAUCAUGGCUCAGAUUGAACGCUGGCGGCAGGCCUAACACAUGCAAGUCGAACGGUAGCACAGAGAGCUUGCUCUCGGGUGACGAGUGGCGGACGGGUGAGUAAUGUCUGGGAAACUGCCUGAUGGAGGGGGAUAACUACUGGAAACGGUGGCUAAUACCGCAUAACGUCGCAAGACCAAAGAGGGGGACCUUCGGGCCUCUUGCCAUCAGAUGUGCCCAGAUGGGAUUA